rnacentral:rRNA from 1 species
GACGAACGCUGGUGGCGUGCUUAACACAUGCAAGUCGAACGGGAUUUAGUAAACAGCAGCCUCGGUGGAAGAUUACUAAUGAGAGUGGCGAACGGGUGAGUAACGCGUGAGCAACCUGCCUAUGACAGUGGGAUAGCCUCGGGAAACCGGGAUUAAUACCGCAUAAAAUCGUAGAAACACAUGUUUUAACGGUCAAAGAUUUAUCGGUCAUAGAUGGGCUCGCGUCUGAUUAGCUAGUUGGUGAGAUAACAGCCCACCAAGGCGACGAUCAGUAGCCGGUCUGAGAGGAUGAACGGCCACAUUGGAACUGGGACACGGUCCAACUCCUACGGGAGGCAGCAGUGGGGAAUAUUGCACAAUGGGGGAAACCCUGAUGCAGCGACGCCGCGUGAACGAAGAAGGUAUUCGUAUCGUAAAGUUCUGUCCUAUGGGAAGAUAAUGACAGUACCAUAGAAGAAAGCUCCGGCUAAAUACGUG